rnacentral:rRNA from 1 species
GUACACUCCUGCGGGAGGCAGCAGUGGGGAAUUUUGGACAAUGGGCGAAAGCCUGAUCCAGCAAUGCCGCGUGUGUGAAGAAGGCCUUCGGGUUGUAAAGCACUUUUGUCCGGAAAGAAAUCCUUGGCUCUAAUACAGUCGGGGGAUGACGGUACCGGAAGAAUAAGCACCGGCUAACUACGUGCCGGCAGCCGCGGUAAUACGUAGGGUGCGAGCGUUAAUCGGAAUUACUGGGCGUAAAGCGUGCGCAGGCGGUUUGCUAAGACCGAUGUGAAAUCCCCGGGCUCAACCUGGGAACUGCAUUGGUGACUGGCAGGCUAGAGUAUGGCAGAGGGGGGUAGAAUUCCACGUGUAGCAGUGAAAUGCGUAGAGAUGUGGAGGAAUACCGAUGGCGAAGGCAGCCCCCUGGGCCAAUACUGACGCUCAUGCACGAAAGCGUGGGGAGCAAACAGGAUUAGAAACCCUAGUAGUCCCAUGA